rnacentral:rRNA from 1 species
AUUGAACGCUGGCGGCAGGCCUAACACAUGCAAGUCGAACGAGUGGCGGACGGGUGAGUUAUGUCUGGGACACUGCCCGAUGGAGGGGGAUAACUACUGGACACGGUCUCUAAUCCCGCAUUCCCUCGGAUGUGCCCAUAUGGGAUUAGCUAGUAGGUGGGGUAACGGCUCACCUAGGCGACGAUCCCUAGCUGGUCUGAGAGGAUGACCAGCCACACUGGAACUGAGACACGGUCCAGACUCCUACGGGAGGCAGCAGUGGGGAAUAUUGCACAAUGGGCGCAAGCCUGAUGCAGCCAUGCCGCGUGUAUGAAGAAGGCCUUCGGGUUGUAAAGUACUUUCAGCGAGGAGGCGUUACCCGCAGAAGAAGCACCGGCUAACUCCGUGCCAGCAGCCGCGGUAAUUC